rnacentral:rRNA from 1 species
ACGGUUGACCUCGGAUCAGGUAGGAAUACCCGCUGAACUUAAGCAUAUCAAUAAGCGGAGGAAU